rnacentral:rRNA from 1 species
AUACGGAGGGGGUUAGCGUUGUUGGGAAUUACUGGGCGUAAAGCGCACGUAGGCGGACUGGAAAGUUGGGGGUGAAAUCCCGGGGCUCAACCCCGGAACUGCCUCCAAAACUUCCAAUCUAGAGAUCGAGAGAGGUGAGUGGAAUUCCAAGUGUAGAAGUGAAAUUCGUAGAUAUUUGGAGGAACACCAGUGGCGAAGGCGGCUCACUGGCUCGAUACUGACGCUGAGGUGCGAAAGCGUGGGGAGCAAACAGGAUUAGAUACCCUAGUAGUCC